CCCAUGAACGUGAUGUUAGCAACAAUCAGUUACUUUGUCGUUUUGUCCACAAGUGAUCAGGCAAUCUCUCUCGAUCAGACUUUGGCCCAACAAAAGAAAUAGUUUCUCCCAGUCAGAGGCCAAGAAGCCAAACCCAGUAACCUCUGAUUGACAAUUAAAUUAACCAGAAAAAAACUUGAAGACAAGGAGUGGUUCUUCUUGGCCUAGUGAGAAUGAGCUUGAAAUAAAGGACAGUAAGCUUACAAUGGCUGGGAGAGGUCCUGAAGAAGUGAGAGUGGUGGUCUCUCCUGGUCAAAUUUGUCCACUUGGUGCUCCCAUUGAUCAUCAGGCUGAUUGAAAAUGAAUAUCUGGGUCUGAAAAACGACAUAUUGGAUCUAUCAGCAAUUUUGCUUUCAAGCUAUGCUUGCCUUACUCGCAUGAACUGCAAGGUGAUGAUCGGAUCCAUGUGCUGUAUUCUAUAUUUUCAAGCAAGACUACCUCUAAAA